AUACGGAGGGUGCGAGCGUUAAUCGGAAUUACUGGGCGUAAAGCGUACGUAGGCGGUUGGUUAAGUUAGAUGUGAAAGCCCCGGGCUUAACCUGGGAACUGCAUUUAAAACUGGCGAACUAGAGUUGAGUAGAGGGGAGUGGAAUCUCAGGUGUAGCGGUGAAAUGCGUAGAGAUCUGAAGGAACACCAGUGGCGAAGGCGACUCCCUGGACUCGAACUGACGCUGAGGUACGAAAGCGUGGGUAGCAAACGGGAUUAGAUACCCCAGUAGUCC
rnacentral:rRNA from 1 species